UUACACUUGUAUUUCCAUGGACCUAGCUUUCGUUGAAUUAGUCAAAUUACUUUGUUUUGCAAUAUUUGUAAAUAUGUAAUAAAGCGAUACAAGUACAGUGUUUGGCGGUGAAUCGCACAAGACAUUAAUGACAGCGAAACAAGGGGACGUGAUAUAGUUCUCAGAAGUUACCACAUCCCAUUUGAAGGCGUUGUGAGUAUUAACUUUGAAGACGAAAUUUUUGGCGAGCGGGAAGAUCUGUGUUUGUUAUUGUUUUGGUCAAGAUAGUAGGUGCUUCGUGGAACUGUAGUGGUAACUCAGCCAUAGGCUUCGUGCUGUUCUGAAUUAUAAGAAACGAAAAGCAGAACGCAAAAUGGGUUGCAAAAUUGUUGGAGAGAGAAUAGGAAACGUAAUAUACAUUGACAUUCUGAAAGAUAUCGCAAAUUCAAUAGUACCACAACAGAACAACUACAGGAGCGAAAUGUACACCUCGCCACUCUAAAUUGGGGCCCAGCUCAUCGCAAGACUGCAGAAGAACGUCUCUGUGAAAUAGGAUACCCUGGACCAUAUUUAAGCUCUUAUGGGGUGUGAUGGUUACAGAAACAUCCGCCAGCUUGUCACAAGCUAGUAAUGUUGGUGACUGGGCUGAGGAUGCUGUUUUGAUCAAGACUGACCCACAUCUCGUUUUGGACAAUCCCUCCACCACUCCAAAUGCUCCACAAAAAACUGAGGCUUCAUUGUCAUGAAAGAUUGCCCAUCAGCUCUCGAACAUACGAGGUACCGUGGCGAAUAAGUUCCGCUGCCAUCCUUCGCCUGAUGUUCCUUCCAUGGUGUGGCCAAGAAGGGGAACGAUUUGGCGUCGCACUUCUGUGCGUUUAAUUGAACUUGUGAUCGCUUAGAGACUGCUAGUGUUUCACCACCACCAGCAAGAGAUGGACUACGCUUGAUCGCGUGUCAUUCGCCCUGAUGCCACCCACUCAGACCAAGGACACUACCCACAGGUGCCACCUAGCCACAGCAAAGGCCACCUGGCAGGACGGCCAUUGCCAGACGUCCCGAUGCCGGGGGAUGGGUAUCUACCCCUUGGCAUACGAGGGGAUUUAAUGGCGCAGGCAUGAGCAGAGUGAUCCCUGUGUGGUCAGGGGGCUACAACCAACACGGUACAUGGCGGCCCCACCACAACAGACUGGCUACCGUGCUGGAUAUCAGGUGCAAAGAAAUCCGUGGUCAUCGUCGACACAGAAAGCGACACUGCACAAUGCAUGGUGGAAAACACAUCCAGGAAGGUGUCCUCGUCCAAGAGAUGGGGAAUGAGCGGGACUGAGAUGCGACAAUGAGGAAGUGGGCUAAAGAUUUCAAUGCACGAUGGACAUUAUGCACCAUGUAAGGCUCCCUUCCCCAAUUGGCUUGAUCUUCAGGGAAAAUUUUGAAGAAUGGUGUUCGAAACCCUACAGGGGACCGUCACAUAAAGGCCGAAACGUGGGAAACUCCUUUUAAUCGCCUCUUAUGACAGGCAGGAAUACCUAGGGCCUAUUCUUACCCCCGGAUGUGCAGGGGGAGAACCAUCAGUGAUUUCACCAUACAGGCAAAGCAAAGAUGACUGAUGUGAAUCUUCUACUUACUAUCUAAACAUUUUGGGGAUGACUGGAAGAGCAUAGGCGAUUUAGAUUUCUGUGCAAGCUUCAUUGGUGCAGUUCCUAUUGUAACUGGCAGUGAGGAAGGGGUUUGUACAUCAGCUUGUGGUUGCUUGAAAGGAACAUGAGGACCUUACCAAAUAUUAAGAGAAACCAAAAGAAUGGCCAUUCUCAAGAUUCUAUAAAUCAAAAUAUUUACCAGAAAGACAUGCUGAGUUUGAUAUGAAAUGAUUAAUGUGACCAUAUUUAUUGUGUAAUAAAAAUGUUUUCAAAGACAAAUGGCACCAAAAAGGACAUCAUUAACACUAUUAUUGUACAAUAGUAACAAAAAUAAAUACUUAGUUAUGUAUUUGCCUCA